rnacentral:rRNA from 1 species
AGCUCUAAUAGCGUAUAUUAAAGUUGUUGCGGUUAAAAAGCUCGUAGUUGGUUCUGUGUGCCAUGCUGUUGGUUCACCGCCUGCCGGUGCAACUGACAUGCCAUGGGACGUAUUGUCGGUGGUAGUUAAGGCCCUAGUCUUCAUGUUUAGGGUCAAACUUAAGCUGGAGUUAGGUAACUUUAACUGCCGAUUGACUCCUAUCGCGGUGCUCUUUACUGAGUGUCGAGGUGGGCCGACAUUUUUACUUUGAACAAAUUAGAGUGCUUAAAGCAGGCAGAAAUCUGCCUGAAUAGUGGUGCAUGGAAUAAUAGAAUAGGAUCUUGGUUCUAUUUUGUUGGUUUUUAAGAAUCCAAGGUAAUGAUCAAUAUGGACAGGCGGGGGCAUUCGUAUUGCGACGUUAGAGGUGAAAUUCUUGGAUCGUCGCAAGACGAACUAGAGCGAAAGCAUUUGCCAAGUAUGUCUUAAUUGAUCAAGAACGAAAGUUAGAGGCGCAAAGGCGAUCAGAUACCGCCCUAGUUCUAACCAUAAACGAUACCAGCCAGCGAUCCGGCGAUGUUUUUUUUAU